AUUAGUGUGUAUAUUCAUCUGUGAAAAACGUGUCCUGGAUACGUGAUAUACCCAUGUUCCUUUUCAUCCAUUUUCUUUCCCAAGAAAAAAUUCUCUGCAAAAUGGAAGGGUUUUGCAAGCUCUCAUAUGAAAUUCUCAGUUAAAUUGCAUACCUAGGAAGGUACUUGGAGAACAAAGGAAAGGAAAGAAAUUGAAAAGAUGUGAUGUAGGGAACAUUGAGCAUUAUAAGGGAGUGGAGUAAAGGUGCAGUGAAGGUUACUAGCUUUAAUGAUCAACUCAACAGGGAGUGGAGUAAAGGUGCAGUGAAGAAAUCGAGACCUGAGAAGGAGGCUGUAGGAGAGACAUCAGCAUAACAGAAAUCAUCAAAGGUGACAAGGACCCAGAAAAGGGGGAUGUUGAGGAAGAAGGUAAUGAAAUUGAAAAUACAGACUGAAGCGGAGAAGAAACGAAAUGUUGGUCUGAUGGUAAAGUAUCCAACAGAAGAUAAUGUUGGGAAAGACCACAAGAAGCUGGAGAAGGGAUAUGCCUCAUCAACAAAGUUUUCUGAUAAUCUUUCUUUCACAAGGCUUGGUUCUGGAAGAUUACCUGAUGGAGGAAUACUUCUUCUUUGCUUGGUAUCGUAAACGAAAUAACCAAAUCGGGACAUGGGAGAACAUUUUCCAAGCAAACAUUCAAAGAGUAGAGUACUAGCUAAUACAAAUAUUGUGCUUGGCGGAGUAGGACCAAAAGAAAUCAGACUCAAGGAUUCAUGUAUCAUGAUAAACUACCGUCCAUUUAUAGGCUUGAUUUACUGGACUCGCAACCGGAGCUGCAUAUUAUGGACUAAGGCCUACAUUAGAGUUCAUAACCUUCUAACUUUUCCAUGCAGGUAAGAUAUUACUUCACUUUCUCAAACUUCUCCAUGUUAGCUUUUCUCACAUGUCAGAAUGGUUGCUAUGAUACUUAUAAUUAUACUUAUAAAAUCAACAAUGUAUGGAGAUCAGUUUUAUAUGACUUACCUAACACAUAAAUAUUUUAGUUCCUCUUGGAGAUCCUGCAUCAUAAAUUGUCUGUUUAUAUAAUCAUCAAAAUUAGGCCUGCUUUUCAACUUCCAGUAAGUUUUGUUUUCCAUAUAUAGCUGAACAAGGGCGAGCAGACCAGUAUAGAGUUGUUGCAAAUAAAAAGCCUUGAGCAUAUCAAUCGAGAUCAUGAAAUUUAUGCACAACUAAUUAAUUUUGAGGUCGGCCACCUUCAAGUGACUAAACAUGGAUAUGACAUCGUAUUGAAGUAUGGAUCACACACAAAUGCUAUAAGACAAGUUUUCUGCACUAGACUUAUAUUUAACUCUUUUUUGUCUUCUUAUUCUUAAGUUAGAAAAAUAUAUUCCUCUCAUUUCUUCAUGAAUGCCUUGUAUUCUAUGUCAUCCUACGAUUAAUUCUUUUUAUAUAUCUUAAUUUACUAGAGUAAAAGUCAUAAUUUGGAGAACACCUCCAAUGGCUUUAACUUACUGUUAUAUUGAUCGUUGCUUAUGCAUAUAUAUCAAGCAAAGAUUAUGAGUCAAUGGAUGUUGAAUUUGAUUAUAGAUGCUAUGAUGAGAGAUGAGAGAAGCUAAUAAGAAGUUGAAGAAAUUCUAGGCAAGAUUCAAAAAUAUAAUCAAUUUCCAGUGCAUUCAUGUAUAUUUGAUUACUUUUCCUUGUGAAGGAAAAUAUACAUGAAGUCACAAUUGUAGAUUUUAAAAUAUCAUUACUUACACCGUAAAUGGUCAUUUUAUUUUCAGAUCAUUAUAUUUUUUACACACUUUUCUUGCAUGUAUCAUCAAUAUGCAUUGUUUAAACUCUGGCUUGUCACCUCAAAAUUAUCUCUUUGUGAGAAAGCAGAUCACUUGGUAAAUAUAGCGAGAAUGAUAACGUUGUCCUACACUUUGUAUAUCUAGGAGUCACAAAAUUGCAUGUGUACAUGGUAAGUAUAUUUACUUGUAUUUACCUUAUUGAUUUUUAAUUUUAUUUUCUGCAUUUGUCUUUUUUACUAUGUAAUGUUUGAAGCUUUCAAUACAUGAUUCUCCAAUUUUUCGAUUUGACUGAUAUUUAUAGAUUUUUCAGGUAGCUCAACCUCUUACUAAACCAUAAUUUUUUGAAAUACAGAAGAUUGGCUUACAAAGACUAGGGAUCCAAUGGAAAGGCCCUACCACUAUUAAAACAGGUUAUGCUCGUGAUCUAUGUGUAUUAUGUCUAUUAUAACAACGCUUGUAGACAAACACACAGGAUUCCUUAUUGCAUUUCCGUAUCAUCUAGAGGCGUUGCUCAAUUCCAAGCUUCCUCAAUCUACUUUUUGAGCAUGAGAUCGAUUUUUCUGCUCUUUUGGUCCUGUUUAAGCCUGCAAACCCCAUCCCAAACAAGGUUUUGCAACAACUUUCUCAGAUAGGGCAUAUCAUUAGUUACCAAUACAGUAAGGUUCAAAUCCCUCUCAAGAAUGGCAGAGUUUUGUAUGCAAAAUUCAAAUAAUUGUUCAGUAUACGUUUGCAUCAAAAUAGUUAUAGAUACUUGUAGUUGUGUAUCUUCAUGCAUUUACCACUGUAAAAUCUAUAAAUCAUUCAAAAUCGAACAAUAUUUCUUCAAAAAGGAACAACAUAAGAUAGAACUUGUCACA